AUUGAACGCUGGCGGCAGGCCUAACACAUGCAAGUCGAACGCGUGGCGGACGGGUGAGUACUGUCUGGGAAACUGCCUGAUGGAGGGGGAUAACUCCUGGAAACGGUAGCUAAUACCGCAUACCAUCGGAUGUGCCCAGAUGGGAUUAGCUAGUAGGUGGUGUAAAGGCUCACCUAGGCGACGAUCCCUAGCUGGUCUGAGAGGAUGACCAGCCACACUGUAACGGAGACACGGUCCAGACUCCUACGGGAGGCAGCAGUGGGGAAUAUUGCACAAUGGGCGCAAGCCUGGUGCAGCCAUGCCGCGUGUAGGAAGAAGGCCUUCGGGUUGUAAAGUACUUUCAGCGGGGAGGCGUUACCCGCAGAAGAAGCACGGGCUAACUCCGUGCCAGCCGCCGCGGUAAUAC
rnacentral:rRNA from 1 species